CAGUCGCCACGGUAAUACGAAGGGUGCAAGCGUCACUCGGAAUUACUGGGCGUAAAGCGUGCGUAGGUGGUGGUUUAAGUCCGUUGUGAAAGCCCUGGGCUCAACCUGGGAAUUGCAGUGGAUACUGGGUCACUAGAGUGUGGUAGAGGAUAGUGGAAUUUCCGGUGUAGCAGUGAAACGCGUAGAGAUCGGAAGGAACAUCUGUGGCGAAGGCGACUAUCUGGGCCAACACUGACACUGAGGCACGAAAGCGUGGGGAGCAAACAGGAUUAGAUACCCGUGUAGUCCCUGUCUCUUAUAC
rnacentral:rRNA from 1 species